rnacentral:rRNA from 1 species
AUUGAACGCUGGCGGCAUGCCUUACACAUGCAAGUCGAACGGCAGCACGGGUGCUUGCACCUGGUGGCGAGUGGCGAACGGGUGAGUAAUACAUCGGAACGUACCUUAUCGUGGGGGAUAACGCAGCGAAAGCUGUGCUAAUACCGCAUACGCCCUGAGGGGGAAAGCGGGGGAUCGCAAGACCUCGCGCGAUUAGAGCGGCCGAUGCCUGAUUAGCUUGUUGGUGGGGUAAAAGCCCACCAAGGCGACGAUCAGUAGCUGGUCUGAGAGGACGAUAAGCCACACUGGGAUUGAGACACGGCCCAGACUCCUACGGGGGGCAGCAGUGGGGAAUUUUGGACAAUGGGGGCAACCCUGAUCCAGCGAUGCCGCGUGAGUGAAGAAGGCCUUCGGGUUGUAAAGCUCUUUUGUCAGGGAAGAAACACCGUCUCUAACACAGUCCGGGAAUGACGGUACCUGAAGAAUAAGCACCGGCUAACUACGUGCCAGCAGCCGCCGUAA